UCAUCGACUGCAAUAUCAAAAUGUGAGAGAAUUUUACCUCUCUGUUAUGAAUGUCUGUUUAUAUUAGUUUCUUCCAGAUUCAAGAUGCUUAGGAUGUCAAACGAAUAAAAAAAAAAAAGAAAACCAGAUACCCUAGAGAUCUUCAACUUAAUUCAAAAUUGUGAUUUAAGAGUUGAAAUUAUUACAUCCUUUUCUGUGUAUUCAUAUCUUCAAAAGUUUCGACUUUUUAGGUCCUUUUAGCUAAGUAAACAUCAUGAUGUCUUGCAUCUGAUUGGCCUUGUUUCCCAAUUUUCUUUCUGCUGGUGCUUGAUUGGUUUUGCAAUUCGAGAUAUACUCUUGGAAGCUUGACAGUCUAAGUUAAAUAGAAAUUUUUGUGCUUAUUGGAUGGCUUUCUUUUUUGUCUACCCCUUAAACUUGAUCUAAAAAACCUGCAAUGUUGAGGAGCCUUGUAUGCUGGUUGACCUUUGCUGUCCCAUCAAAGCAUCAUAAGGCAAUUGAUUGGGCUUCUUUUUCUUUUUUGGCUCAGUGCUGGUGCUGGGAAUCAGCG
rnacentral:misc_RNA from 1 species